rnacentral:rRNA from 1 species
AGUGGCGAACGGGUGAGUAAUACAUCGGAACAUGUCCUGUAGUGGGGGAUAGCCCGGCGAAAGCCGGAUUAAUACCGCAUACGAUCUGAGGAUGAAAGCGGGGGACCUUCGGGCCUCGCGCUAUAGGGUUGGCCGAUGGCUGAUUAGCUAGUUGGUGGGGUAAAGGCCUACCAAGGCGACGAUCAGUAGCUGGUCUGAGAGGACGACCAGCCACACUGGGACUGAGACACGGCCCAGACUCCUACGGGAGGCAGCAGUGGGGAAUUUUGGACAAUGGGCGAAAGCCUGAUCCAGCAAUGCCGCGUGUGUGAAGAAGGCCUUCGGGUUGUAAAGCACUUUUGUCCGGAAAGAAAUCCUUGGUUCUAAUAUAGCCGGGGGAUGACGGUACCGGAAGAAUAAGCACCGGCUAACUACGUGCCAGCAGCCGCGGUAAUACGUAGGGUGCAAGCGUUAAUCGGAAUUACUGGGCGUAAAGCGUGCGCAGGCGGUUUGCUAAGACCGAUGUGAAAUCCCCGGGCUCAACCUGGGAACUGCAUUGGUGACUGGCAGGCUAGAGUAUGGCAGAGGGGGGUAGAAUUCCACGUGUAGCAGUGAAAUGCGUAGAGAUGUGGAGGAAUACCGAUGGCGAANGCAGCCCCCUGGGCCAAUACUGACGCUCAUGCACGAAAGCGUG